rnacentral:rRNA from 1 species
UACAGAGGUGUCGAGCGUUGUCCGGAAUUACUGGGCGUAAAGGGCGUGUAGGUGGGCGAGUAUGUCGGAUGUGAAAUCGUCGGGCUUAACCCGGCAACCGCAUCCGAAACUGCUCGUCUUGAGUGCAGAAGAGGAGAGUGGAAUUCCCAGUGUAGCGGUGAAAUGCGUAGAUAUUGGGAGGAACACCAGUGGCGAAGGCGGCUCUCUGGUCUGCAACUGACACUGAAACGCGAAAGCUAGGGGAG